rnacentral:rRNA from 1 species
GCUUGCUUUCUUUGCUGACGAGCGGCGGACGGGUGAGUAAUGCCUAGGGAACUGCCCAGUCGAGGGGGAUAACAGUUGGAAACGACUGCUAAUACCGCAUACGCCCUACGGGGGAAAGGAGGGGCUCUUCGGACCUUUCGCGAUUGGAUGUACCUAGGUGGGAUUAGCUUGUUGGUGAGGUAAGAGCUCACCAAGGCGACGAUCCCUAGCUGUUCUGAGAGGAUGAUCAGCCACACUGGGACUGAGACACGGCCCAGACUCCUACGGGAGGCAGCAGUGGGGAAUAUUGCACAAUGGGCGAAAGCCUGAUGCAGCCAUGCCGCGUGUGUGAAGAAGGCCUUCGGGUUGUAAAGCACUUUCAGCGAGGGAGGAAAGGUUAACGGUUAAUACCCGUUAGCUGUGACGUUACUCG